rnacentral:rRNA from 1 species
GUGGGGAAUAUUGGACAAUGGGCGCAAGCCUGAUCCAGCAAUGCCGCGUGUGUGAAGAAGGUCUUCGGAUCGUAAAGCACUUUCGACGGGGACGAUGAUGACGGUACCCGUAGAAGAAGCCCCGGCUAACUUCGUGCCAGCAGCCGCGGUAAUACGAAGGGGGCUAGCGUUGCUCGGAAUUACUGGGCGUAAAGGGCGCGUAGGCGGCUCUGUUAGUCAGGCGUGAAAUUCCUGGGCUUAACCUGGGGACUGCGCUUGAUACUGCAGGGCUUGAGGCCGAGAGAGGGUGGUGGAAUUCCCAGUGUAGAGGUGAAAUUCGUAGAUAUUGGGAAGAACACCGGUGGCGAAGGCGACCACCUGGCUCGGUUCUGACGCUGAGGCGCGACAGCGUGGGGAGCAAACAGGAUUAGAAACCCUGGUAGUCC